CCUACGGGAUGCAGCAGUGGGGAAUAUUGCACAAUGGGGGAAACCCUGAUGCAGCGCCGCCGCGUGCGUGAAGAAGUAAUUCGUUAUGUAAAGCUCUAUCAGCAGGGAAGACAAUGACGGUACCUGAGUAAGAAGCCCCGGCUAACUACGUGCCAGCAGCCGCGGUAAUACGUAGGGGGCAAGCGUUAUCCGGAUUUACUGGGUGGAAAGGGAGCGUAGACGGCAGGGCAAGUCUGGAGUGAAAGGCGGGGGCUCAACCCCCGGACUGCUCUGGAAACUGUACGGCUGGAGUGCAGGAGAGGUAAGUGGAAUUCCUAGUGUAGCGGUGAAAUGCGUAGAUAUUAGGAGGAACACCAGUGGCGAAGGCGGCUUACUGGACUGUAACUGACGUUGAGGCUCGAAAGCGUGGGGAGCAAACAGGAUUAGAUACCCGUGUAGUC
rnacentral:rRNA from 1 species